UAUUACCUGCAACAGGAAAUUGGACACGAUCUUACAUAUGCUACAUUUAUUUUCGCUUAUAAACCAUGCUUCGCCUUUCGUAUUCAUCGUUCGUUAAUAAAAGUGCUUGUUUCUUUUGCGUGAUCACGACGGACCAUGAAGAGAGCCCUAAUUUUAAUUUAAUUUUGUAUUUCACAUCAUUUGCAGUUUAUAAAUUUUAGUUGUGUUUUUUGAUUUAUGAUAUAAAUUCUAAUUAUUCUAAUUGGACUGUGAUCAUGCAUCGAUCACGACAAUUUUUAAUCAUUUACAACUUCUUCGUCGUUUCUUUUGUAUUACAUAACUAUGAUCAGAGUAUUUCCAGGGUGUGAUACAAAUUUUUUCUAUCCAUAUUUAAUAUCAAAAUUCUAAAUACUAACGAUAUUAUGCUACGUAAGUUGAUUAAAGUUAAAAUAAUCUUUAUUCGAAGAACUGGUUUAUUUUGUAACCAUCCUUAUAAUCAGCUAACUUGUUUCAACACAGUUCAGGAUACGCUUGAGCGAAUAGUUACUUCCGUUAUAUCGUGCUUCAUUUACAAAUCACCUCGACACGCAAUCACAGCAACGCUAUCGUAAAUUAUGAAGUGUUACUUAAAUUAAAACUUUCUCUUCUCCUUAACAUUUCUGGGGACCAAUGAUACCUUCACGUUUAAAAAACAUAGGUGCGUCACUGAAACGCUCCUAAUACUUUCUUAGUGCGCAUGCGCUAUAAAUCCCAUACUGCGCAUCACUCGCGCAAACGCGUGUUCCCGCGUAUCAUUGAAAUUUUGAAACUGAAAAUUCCUUCAUUCUCAUCAAUAUAAUUAUAUGAAAUACAAUUGAAUAUUUGGGGCUCUUUGCAUGAUCCGUCGUCAGAGAGUUAAUAAAUGUCUAUAACGUAUAUUUUAUGAACAGCCAAAAAGGAAAUUCUCCUUUUUAUUAAACUGAUAUUUUUUCUUUCAGUAUCGUAUGUAUAAAAGAUCAAAGAGAAAAGUUUGGCAUCUUUUGCACGGAUUCUUGGAAGGCACAUCAGUUGUCACGUAAAACAGUUAACUGUUUUACGUCGGUAAUAUAUUGAGCAACUUUGAAAAUGAAAAAAAAAAAAA